UACACCAUCCAAGUCCGCACACAGAAAUUUUCAACCCUGAUGACUGAAGCCGACUAGAGGUCUGCAAAUUCGAGUUUGAAUACCCAAGAUUUGAUGUAAGACAAGCAAACUUUGAUUGGUGGUCAGAAAUUACUGUCAAAGAAAGGGUUUUCCUCCUGUCGCCCCCCUUGUAUGAUUUAUGUGAGUUUUGUUGCCUGUCACAUUGGGGUUAAAACAGUCCCUAGCUGUUCUGGUACCACGGAUCAAGGACGUGGGUCCCAAGUCACCCACUGCAUAUGGUCAAGCAUUUGGGAAUCAGGGAUUCCUUUAAGAAUCUGAAAAAAAAAUGUAUAGUCUCUCU
rnacentral:lncRNA from 10 species